GAGUGGCGAACUGGUGAGUAACACGUGGGAAACCUGCCCAGAAGCGGGGGAUAACACCUGGAAACAGAUGCUAAUACCGCAUAACAACUUGGACCGCAUGGUCCGAGUUUGAAAGAUGGCUUCGGCUAUCACUUUUGGAUGGUCCCGCGGCGUAUUAGCUAGAUGGUGGGGUAACGGCUCACCAUGGCAAUGAUACGUAGCCGACCUGAGAGGGUAAUCGGCCACAUUGGGACUGAGACACGGCCCAAACUCCUACGGGAGGCAGCAGUAGGGAAUCUUCCACAAUGGACGAAAGUCUGAUGGAGCAACGCCGCGUGAGUGAAGAAGGGUUUCGGCUCGUAAAACUCUGUUGUUAAAGAAGAACAUAUCUGAGAGUAACUGUUCAGGUAUUGACGGUAUUUAACCAGAAAGCCACGGCUAACUACGUGCCAGCAGCCGCGGUAAUACGUAGGUGGCAAGCGUUGUCCGGAUUUAUUGGGCGUAAAGCGAGCGCAGGCGGUUUUUUAAGUCUGAUGUGAAAGCCUUCGGCUCAACCGAAGAAGUGCAUCGGAAACUGGGAAACUUGAGUGCAGAAGAGGACAGUGGAACUCCAUGUGUAGCGGUGAAAUGCGUAGAUAUAUGGAAGAACACCAGUGGCGAAGGCGGCUGUCUGGUCUGUAACUGACGCUGAGGCUCGAAAGUAUGGGUAGCAAACAGGAUUAGAUACCCUGGUAGUCCAUACCGUAAACGAUGAAUGCUAAGUGUUGGAGGGUUUCCGCCCUUCAGUGCUGCAGCUAACGCAUUAAGCAUUCCGCCUGGGGAGUACGGCCGCAAGGCUGAAACUCAAAGGAAUUGACGGGGGCCCGCACAAGCGGUGGAGCAUGUGGUUUAAUUCGAAGCUACGCGAAGAACCUUACCAGGUCUUGACAUACUAUGCAAAUCUAAGAGAUUAGACGUUCCCUUCGGGGACAUGGAUACAGGUGGUGCAUGGUUGUCGUCAGCUCGUGUCGUGAGAUGUUGGGUUAAGUCCCGCAACGAGCGCAACCCUUAUUAUCAGUUGCCAGCAUUAAGUUGGGCACUCUGGUGAGACUGCCGGUGACAAACCGGAGGAAGGUGGGGAUGACGUCAAAUCAUCAUGCCCCUUAUGACCUGGGCUACACACGUGCUACAAUGGAUGGUACAACGAGUUGCGAACUCGCGAGAGUAAGCUAAUCUCUUAAAGCCAUUCUCAGUUCGGAUUGUAGGCUGCAACUCGCCUACAUGAAGUCGGAAUCGCUAGUAAUCGCGGAUCAGCAUGCCGCGGUGAAUACGUUCCCGGGCCUUGUACACACCGCCCGUCACACCAUGAGAGUUUGUAACACCCAAAGUCGGUGGGGUAA
rnacentral:rRNA from 1 species